UAGGGAAUCUUCGGCAAUGGACGAAAGUCUGACCGAGCAACGCCGCGUGAGUGAAGAAGGUUUUCGGAUCGUAAAACUCUGUUGUUAGAGAAGAACAAGGACGUUAGUAACUGAACGUCCCCUGACGGUAUCUAACCAGAAAGCCACGGCUAACUACGUGCCAGCAGCCGCGGUAAUACGUAGGUGGCAAGCGUUGUCCGGAUUUAAUGGGCGUAAAGCGAGCGCAGGCGGUUUCUUAAGUCUGAUGUGAAAGCCCCCGGCUCAACCGGGGAGGGUCAUUGGAAACUGGGAGACUUGAGUGCAGAAGAGGAGAGUGGAAUUCCAUGUGUAGCGGUGAAAUGCGUAGAUAUAUGGAGGAACACCAGUGGCGAAGGCGGCUCUCUGGUCUGUAACUGACGCUGAGGCGCGAAAGCGUGGGGAGCAAACAGG
rnacentral:rRNA from 1 species